CCUACGGGGGGCAGCAGUGAGGAAUAUUGGUCAAUGGGCUUACGCCUGAACCAGCCAAGUCGCGUGAGGGAAGACUGCCCUAUGGGUUGUAAACCUCUUUUGUCAGGGAGCAACGCCGGCUACGUGUAGCCGGACUGAGAGUACCUGAAGAAAAAGCAUCGGCUAACUCCGUGCCAGCAGCCGCGGUAAUACGUAUGGUGCAAGCGUUAUCCGGAUUUACUGGGUGUAAAGGGAGCGCAGGCGGCGCGUUAAGCCUGGUGUGAAAGCCCGCGGCCCAACCGCGGGACUGCAUUGGGAACUGGCGCGCUGGAGUGCCGGAGGGGUAGGCGGAAUUCCUAGUGUAGCGGUGAAAUGCGUAGAUAUUAGGAGGAACACCAGUGGCGAAGGCGGCCUACUGGACGGUGACUGACGCUGAGGCUCGAAAGCGUGGGGAGCAAACAGGAUUAGAUACCCUUGUAGUC
rnacentral:rRNA from 1 species